CAAUAGCGUAUAUUUAAGUUGCUGCAGUUAAAAAGCUCGUAGUUGGAUUUCGGGUGGGAAUGGCCGGUCCGCCGUUUCGGUGUGCACUUGCUACGCCCACCUUGCUGCCGGGGACGUGCUCUUGAGUUCACGCUCGGGACACGGAGUCGGCGAGGUUACUUUGAGUAAAUUAGAGUGUUCAAAGCAGGCCUACGCUCUGAAUACAUUAGCAUGGAAUAACACGAUAGGACUCUGGCCUAUCUUGUUGGUCUGUAGGACCGGAGUAAUGAUUAAGAGGGACAGUCGGGGGCAUUCGUAUUUCAUUGUCAGUGGUGAAAUUCUUGGAUUUAUGAAAGACGAACUACUGCGAAAGCAUUUGCCAAGGAUGUUUUCAUUAA
rnacentral:rRNA from 1 species